CUUGAAAGUCUUUUAUGGCGCAGUAUAACUAGCAGAUGAUACGGCUGUGAUUGUUUACAAAUGAAUAUAUAUGUCCUGGCUGACAUACUUUUGUUGAUUAUGUGUUAAGUUUUUAAAGUGCAAGUCUCCUCAUUGCAGAACUUUGAAUGUGGUGCACUAUAAUCACAUACGUGUAGAUACCAGGCCUAUUUUUAAGUUGUAGUCCAGAACUGCCUUUAAUAUGUCUUCACUUGUCUUGAAAUUAAAAACGAAGUCGGGACAGAACGUAGUUGAAGGAUUAACAGCAGCAAGUACUGUACGUGAUCUGAAGACAAAGCUCUGUUCGUUGACGAAUAUAGGAGAAAUGAACCUUCAUGUGCUGAGUGGCUAUCCCCCGAAAGCACUAGAUUUAUCAGACAACGAAGCGAACUUAAGAAACGUCGGAAUAUCGUCUGGUGAUGUUUUAAUAGUUGAAAAUAAACCUGGUGCAAAACCAAAAGUGAUUUCAAGAAACGAUGUAAUUCCUGCAACUAGACUGGAUAACGAUAGAGUGAGACCUCACGUAACGGAUGCAAUCAGUGACUUUCCAGGGGUUCUUAUGCGGAAAAUAGUUCCUGCCGACAACUCUUGCUUGUUUACGAGCAUUGGCUUUGUCCUUGGAGGCAAAGUGGAUCCCACCUGUGCUUCAUACAUGCGGCAGAUAAUUGCAGAAGAGGUCAUUAAUGAUGGGGAUUCGUACUCCGAAGCCAUCCUGGGGAAGCCUCCGCGAGCCUACUGUGACUGGAUAUUGCGGCCCGACUCCUGGGGCGGUGCCAUCGAGCUCUCCGUGCUGUCUCACUUCUACGGCAUUGAGAUUGCUGUCGUCGACACACUGAAUGCCAUCGUCAACCGUUUUGGUGAAGAUCGCCACUAUCCUCAACGCGUUUUCCUAGUCUUUGAUGGGAUCCACUACGAUCCACUCUACAUGGAGCAGGGGGAUGGCGACAGCAUCCAGACAAUUUUCCCGACAUCGGACGACCGCGUGCUGCUGGAAGCGGAACAGUUGGCACGCGAGGCCAAGAGUAGCCGGCAGUUCACAGACGUGGAGCGCUUCACGCUGUGCUGCCUCGAGUGCCGGGUGUCGCUGCGCGGGCAAGCCGAGGCACAGGCGCACGCCCGGGAGACCGGCCACACGAGCUUCGGGGAGGUCCCGGGUGCCCACGUGGAGUAGGAGGAGACGCUCUUGUAUUUCGUCAGUAUACUAGCAAAAUUUACAACACGUAUUGUCAUUCUGGCAUUUCUCUGUUUUUCAUCCCUUUUGAUCUGCAGUCGUCAAAACACCUUUUUUUUUUUUUUUUUAAAAAAUGUGAAAUUUAUGUUUCCCUAUGCCUGAUACAACUGGUUGCUUAUUGAGCCCUGAAGAAAAGCAACUUUGCCUUUGAUGAAAGUGUGCUCUUUGUAAUUUACAACUGUACCUCACAUUUUAAUCACAAUCGUGUAUGUAAUGGCACAGAGCUUCCAAACUUUGUACAGAAAGAAAAAUAGGACUUACUAGCUUUGAAAUCAUAAAGAAUUGUGGAAUUUUAACAAUUUAAACAUCUACUACUGAAAGGAAAUUAACAGUGUGUUGAAAAUAUCAAUCUUCGCGUAGUAGGGUUUUGUCUUUUUUUUCCCCCCAUAUAAUACUUUCCUUCCAUUGCAGAAUCAAUAAGCACAUUUCAAAAACAGUACACAUGAAACUAGAAAUUCAGUGUUUUGAAACUAAUCUGAUAAUUUGUAUGACAAGAAUCCAAUAUUUGCAAGCAUUUGUGGUGCCAAUAAUGUGAUAUCAAUUUUUUAUCUGAAAGGUGUUCUCAGAUACAGACAUAGUGCCUUAUGUACCAGGCUUUGCUGAACAUAUAGGAUUAUUAAUUGUUUUCCACAUUAUUACUUUUGACUUCUAGGUACAUUUUCAGAAUAGUGAAUGUUUUACCCACCAUAAUAACAUUUAAUUUAUAUAAGUUUUUGUGAGCUGCUCAUGUGAAAUCCUUUUUGUUGUUCUCUGCUUCAAGAAAUGAAUGGGACUUUUAAAUUUGUGACAUUCGUUUCCAUAUUAAUAUUAAUACUCCAUUCAUUCAUUUGUUGGCGUGCAUGUUGUUAACAUUAAACGUGUACCUAGAUUUCGAGAGUCAAAAUAGUUUCAUUUAUAGCCAGCAUGUUGGGGUAAAAAGAUUUAACGUAGGUGAUUUUUACAAAAAAUUUAAUGUUUAGAAUACUCCGUUCAGUAAUAUAAGUUGUGCAUUCCCAGAUAAUGUUCAGUAUUCGUGUCAUUAGCCUUCGCAUUGAUAGAUUUGCAGGAUUUCUCCAUAUAUUUAUUCUGUGCAGUCACUGAUGUGAGUAUUCUUGUUUGGAAAAUUUAAAAUGUGAUCUGAAUGCGCCCUUUUCUCAGAUUUUGUGCUGGAGGAGGCAAGAUAAAGACGUGCUACCUACUGUGAGUUGUUGCAUGUCCUUUUAUUUUGUUUCUGAGGUAUAACAUUCAUAAUGUCUGCACUAAUAGAUGUGUGCGUAGUACAUUCUCUGUGUGGCAUACAAAUCUACAUCCAGUAGGUAAGGGUGGCCUAGUAGACAGUGGAAUGUUAAAACUCCUCACAGGACUGGCAGAGCUCUUGAAUCGCCUCUAUUGUUGUGUGUUAAUUGUCAGGACAUACUGGGACCAAAAUCCAAAAUUUUCGGGCUUUUUUUCCAGAAUGAAUUUUUACUCUGUGGCAGAGUGUGAGCUGAUAUAAGAUACCUGACUGGAUGAGGCCUAUAUAUAUGAGAGAGAGAGCAACCAAGCCUUACUAGUCACAAAUCUAACAUAUUUAUGACUGCUGCAGUUUCCUAUUCCAUUAUGAAAGAAACUGAUGUCCGGGAAUUGACCUUCAAAUCAUACAAGUACCUAGCAAGUGGACGAGGUCGAGCAGCCCGUGAGGUCCCCAAGUAUCAGGCUACAAAUCAAAAGGUUUGGUAUUCUACAUGUCUGUGACCUCUUGCAGUGAGUUGUUAAUACGAAAAAUGCCAAGUAGCACUGUGGUUUGAAAUCCACAUUAAAGUGUAGGUCCGCAUGUUACGCCAUGUAAGUCCAUUCAAAGGUCUGAGGGAGGCAACUUGUAAUGAACUUAACUGUGUAGAGCUCUAUUAUGUUCUGCUUGCCAAUGGCUUCCCCAUUUUCCUGUUUUGUGUCUUAAUAUCUCUUUCGCAGAUGUAAAUACAACACUGUUUGGGACUGCAGUUUAUGUUGUCAGGUAAUAAUAUUAUUUCCAAAAGAGCUAAGUGUUCACUACACAAAAUCAGGCUGCUUCUACAGUUUCAUAAAAAGUUUAAAAAACUAGUCAUUGGGAGUUUUUGAAGCUUGCUACUUCAAGUCCAUAUUUGCUUAACAAUAAGGUUCUUUUUUCACAGCCGUGAGAAAACUGAAGUCUCUUAUUUUUUAUUGCCCAUACAUGUUUAAAUAUUGAUGUGCUGUCAUCAAUGGUUUCUCUUAUAGCGACAGUGGCUGAGUGGUUCCCCCCCACCCCCUCUAACACCCUCCCUCCCUCCCUUUCACCACAACACACCUGCUACUUUAGUAAAAGAAACUGUCAUUUGAAACUACAAAUUAUUGUAAAUCAAAAAACGGAAAAUCUAGGAUGGAAUGUAACAGUAUUAUGAAACGAAUAGUUGCUACUCACCAUAUAGCAGAGAUCGAAGGUGCAGAUUGUAGUACAACAAUUUCAUAACUUUUCUAAGUUUUCAAAGUGGAUAACUAGAAGCCAUAUUUUUUUCUCAGAUUGGGUUCUCAAACAGUGUGAUGCCAAGAGCUGCAGAUGGUAAAGAUGAGGAAGAAUCAUAUCUGUCAAAUAAUCUUUCAAAUUAUUCCAAAAAGUGAAGUGUACCAAAAUUAAGUUUACUGAUAUUCCAUUUUUGAGAAUAUUGCCUGAUCCAGUUGUGGUCACUUAUUUCAAAGAAAUAUCACACUGGGUAGUUAGAUGGAGCUUCGGUGCUAGGGGAGAAUCGUGGCACAGUAAUUAGCAGUGCCUAACACAAAUUUCAUGUGUUUGGCUGUAUGACAGAAAACAUGCAAUAAAAACUUUGGGACUGCACAAUAAGGGAUUUCUAAGUAUGCUAUUGUAUUACUUUGGAAUUGAAAGACUUGAUUGUUGUAACUGUGGGGAUAAAAGACUAGAUGCAAUAAAAAUCGUUUUUGAAGGUAUGUUUAUAGAUAUAUAUUUAUCACAUGGAUAAAUUCAAAUACUUCUGCUAGUAGAGAGCAUUUAUUUCAGUUGAUAAGUCAUACAGGGUUAUUUGCCCAGAUGACAGUCGUGCACUAUUGACAUUUAUGGCUCACACAGCAUAAUUAAAGAGUGUCAUUUGAUUAUUGAAAUACACAGUAAUUUUAUUUGUAUAAUGUAUUUGCAAUAUAAGCAAUUUCAGUAUGCAAAUCCUGUUUUGUGGAUUAUAGAUAUAUUAGAAGCUAUUCCAAAGGAAUAUAUUUUUAUUGUUGUAGCAUAUAUGCUUUAUUAUCUGACUGGUAAACGUGUUGCUAUUUAGCUAAAUAUAAAGAAAACAGUGACCUCAGUUUUAAGUAUAAUUAGUUUUUAGAGGAGCCUGUUUUCUGAUACGAACUGUUUUUAAUAUCUUCACGAAAACUGGAUCUCAUCCUUUAUACAAAGCUGUGAUUUUUCAACGCCUGAGUAUAACUCUUUAGUACAAAUGUCAAUGUAAAUGACCAGCAUUGAUCUCAGCCGUGGAGCUGAAGAAAUCUGCAGGUAUUACAGUUCAUAUCUGCAUACUCCAGUGAUAUAACAGUAGCAAAUAUCUUAUAUAAUAAAGCUUUAUUGUUUUAUACAUUUUUGUUGACAGUAUGUAAUCACUAAAAUGAGAGUAAUAUUUGUGCAACUUCAGUACUUUGUAAUGAUUCAGUGCUAUGUGCAAUAAUCACACAGCUAUGAGGCUAAUAGAAUUAGUAAUAGCUUGUACAAAGGACAGUACCUGCUUCGGACAAUGACAAAGAUCUGUUGCCUGUAAGUGAAAUCUUAAAAUUUUUUAAUUAAUUGCUAGUUAAUAUUGUAGUCCGUAAGCUGGUUAAAUUGACCUCAUUUAGCUCAGAAUCGACACUCGCUCACUAUGUGCAGUUGUAUUUUUAACUCUAUUCUUGUACUAUGUAAGUACUGCGCACUUAGCUGUGCAGUGUGUUUAUCUUUUUAGUGAUAUAUCUACAUAAGUAAUCACCUUAGUUGAAGUAUUCUGCACCGAUAAUAUUUUCAGUACAACAUUUUUUUUAACUAGGCUUGCUGCAGUAUUACAGGCUUGUGAAUUGUUGACACAUUUCAGUAAGACUGCACUUUCAAUUUUAGGGUUCUAGUUGCAGGAAAGCCCCACAUUAAAAUGGUUGCUCAAGUUUUUAUAGUACUCCAGGUGACUCAUGAAAGAGUCUCUUAUUAAUGUAGUGCAUCCAUUAUACCUACAGGUAAUGAUCAACUGAAAUUCUAAACAAAUGUAUUACAGUAAUUUAUUUACAUAGUUUUAUGUACAUUGGGGAGCCCAUAUACCUCAUAUGUUAUAAUAUAUGGCUAUAAAACAAAGAAAUUGUUUGCCAUUUGUCAUUUUUGACAAAUUUUUAUUUUUUAAUGUAAUAAAGACUUAUUGUUA